CGGCCCAGACUCCUACGGGAGGCAGCAGUGGGGAAUAUUGCACAAUGGGCGCAAGCCUGAUGCAGCGACGCCGCGUGCGGGAUGACGGCCUUCGGGUUGUAAACCGCUUUUGACUGGGAGCAAGCCCUUCGGGGUGAGUGUACCUUUCGAAUAAGCACCGGCUAACUACGUGCCAGCAGCCGCGGUAAUACGUAGGGUGCAAGCGUUAUCCGGAAUUAUUGGGCGUAAAGGGCUCGUAGGCGGUUCGUCGCGUCCGGUGUGAAAGUCCAUCGCUUAACGGUGGAUCCGCGCCGGGUACGGGCGGGCUUGAGUGCGGUAGGGGAGACUGGAAUUCCCGGUGUAACGGUGGAAUGUGUAGAUAUCGGGAAGAACACCAAUGGCGAAGGCAGGUCUCUGGGCCGUCACUGACGCUGAGGAGCGAAAGCGUGGGGAGCGAACAGGAUUAGAUACCCUGGUAGUCCACGCCGUAAACGGUGGAUGCUGGAUGUGGGGACCAUUCCACGGUCUCCGUGUCGGAGCCAACGCGUUAAGCAUCCCGCCUGGGGAGUACGGCCGCAAGGCUAAAACUCAAAGAAAUUGACGGGGGCCCGCACAAGCGGCGGAGCAUGCGGAUUAAUUCGAUGCAACGCGAAGAACCUUACCUGGGCUUGACAUGUUCCCGACAGCCGUAGAGAUACGGUCUCCCUUCGGGGCGGGUUCACAGGUGGUGCAUGGUCGUCGUCAGCUCGUGUCGUGAGAUGUUGGGUUAAGUCCCGCAACGAGCGCAACCCUCGCCCUGUGUUGCCAGCACGUCGUGGUGGGAACUCACGGGGGACCGCCGGGGUCAACUCGGAGGAAGGUGGGGAUGACGUCAGAUCAUCAUGCCCCUUACGUCCAGGGCUUCACGCAUGCUACAAUGGCCGGUACAACGGGAUGCGACACCGCGAGGUGGAGCGGAUCCCUUAAAACCGGUCUCAGUUCGGAUUGGAGUCUGCAACCCGACUCCAUGAAGGCGGAGUCGCUAGUAAUCGCGGAUCAGCAACGCCGCGGUGAAUGCGUUCCCGGGCCUUGUACACACCGCCCGUCAAGUCAUGAAAGUGGGUAGCACCCGAAGCCGGUGGCCCAACCUUUUUGGGGGGAGCCGUCUAAGGUGAGACUCGUGAUUGGGACUAAGUCGUAACAAGGUAGCCGUACCGGAAGGUGCGGCUG
rnacentral:rRNA from 1 species